rnacentral:lncRNA from 1 species
AGAGGAGGGGGAGGAGCAGAAAGAAGGCCAGAGUGGCUGGAGAUCGUAAUGGGGAGAGAGUUACAAGAUGAGAGACCAGCACCAGCUGAUGCGGCCAGGCCAGGUCCCAGAAGUGACUGUGUCAGGAUGGAGGGUGGCCCUGGGCAUCCUGCCAUUGAAAGCUGAUUGGAGCUGGACCAGCUUAGGCCAGUCUAGAGCUGAGGAGUAUCAUCAAGAGCAGGACCCUCUGGAAUGUGGCUGUUUGUGGAAAGAGGUCAUGCGCUCAUAAACCAGCAACACUUGAGGUGGGAGCUUUUCUGAAUACAAUGAGCCGAAACUCCUCGCCCACCCACAAUGGACUUGUCGCGUGAGUGAGAAAUAAACUUGAGUUAUUGGAAGCCACUGAGCUGUUGGGGUUGUCUGUUACUGCAGGAGAACCUCGCUUGUGCUGACUGGUAGAAUUCUCACCCCUAUUUCACAGAGGAGGAAACUAAAGCACAUGGAGAUGAA